rnacentral:rRNA from 1 species
UACGGAGGGUGCAAGCGUUAUCCGGAUUCACUGGGUUUAAAGGGUGCGUAGGCGGUUUGUUAAGUCAGGGGUGAAAGUUUUCGGCCCAACCGGAAAAUUGCCUUUGAUACUGGCGAACUUGAGUGCGUGAGGGGUAACCGGAACGAGCAGUGUAGCGGUGAAAUGCGUAGAUAUUGCUCGGAAGGCCAACGGCGAAGGCAGGUUACUGGUACGCAACUGACGCUGAGGCACGAAAGCGUGGGGAGCAAACAGG